AUUCAAAACUCUGGAGAGACCGGACCGUUGCACACGACGGCGACCGGCGCCGAAGGGGCAAGAGGCGCAAGGCCUCCCAAACUCUCAGGCAGAAGGACAGAGGGGCGCAA
rnacentral:ncRNA from 2 species